CUACUAGGGUUUCUAAUCCUGUUCGAUACCCGCACCUUCGAGCUUAAGCGUCAGUUGCGCUCCCGUCAGCUGCCUUCGCAAUCGGAGUUCUUCGUCAUAUCUAAGCAUUUCACCGCUACACGACGAAUUCCGCCAACGUUGUGCGUACUCAAGGAAACCAGUAUGCGCUGCAAUUCAGACGUUGAGCGUCUACAUUUCACAACACACUUAAUCUCCAGCCUACGCUCCCUUUAAACCCAAUAAAUCCGGAUAACGCCUGGACCUUCCGUAUUACCGCGGCUGCUGGCAC
rnacentral:rRNA from 1 species